GCUCAUAGGGGUACCCCAAGGGAAGUAUCUAUGACAUGUUGUGAAGGAAAUGUUUACGCACACAGCGCUUGAGCCCCGUCACAGCCUUCGUCCUGAAAGACACCAUUGGGGAAUAUUGGACAUUGGCCGAAACCCAGGAUCAUGCACUGCCGCUAAUGUAUGCAGCCUCAGGGUUGUAAAGGUGUGUUCCAGCGAUGUAAAUGACAGUCCCCAGAGAAUAAGCCCCAGGCUAACUCCGUGCUAGCAGCCGGCGUAAAUACAGGAUGGAGCCUAGCGUUGUUCGGAAAUUACUGGCGUAAAGAGCUACUAAGACGGCUUGUCGCGUAUGCUGUGAAUUCCGGAGGAAUCAACCUCCAGUCCUGCAGUAGAUACGAGCAGACUAGAGUGCGGUAGGGGAGAUUGGAAUUCCUGGUGUAGCGGUGGAAUGCGCAGAUAUCAGGAGGAACACCGAUGGCGAAGGCAGAUCUCUGGGCCGUAACUGACGCUGAGGAGCGAAAGGGUGGGGAGCAAACAGGCUUAGAUACCCUGGUAGUCCACCCCGUAAACGUUGGGAACUAGUUGUGGGGUCCAUUCCACGGAUUCCGUGACGCAGCUAACGCAUUAAGUUCCCCGCCUGGGGAGUACGGCCGCAAGGCUAAAACUCAAAGGAAUUGACGGGGGCCCGCACAAGCGGUGGAGCAUGUGGUUUAAUUCGAAGCAACGCGCAGAACCUUACCAACCCUUGACAUGGCAGGACCGCUGGAGAGAUUCAGCUUUCUCGUAAGAGACCUGCACACAGGUGCUGCGUGGCUGUCGUCAGCUCGUGUCGUGAGAUGUUCGGUUAAGUCCGGCAACGAGCGCAACCCACGUCCCUAGUUGCCAGCAUUCAGUUGGGCACUCUAUGGAAACUGCCGAUGAUAAGUCGGAGGAAGGUGUGGAUGACGUCAAGUCCUCAUGGCCCUUACGGGUUGGGCUACACACGUGCUACAAUGGUGGUGACAGUGGGUUAAUCCCCAAAAGCCAUCUCAGUUCGGAUUGUCCUCUGCAACUCGAGGGCAUGAAGUUGGAAUCGCUAGUAAUCGCGGAACAGCAUGCCGCGGUGAAUACGUUCCCGGGCCUAUACACACCGCCCGUCACACCAUGGGAGUUGGUUCUACCCGACGACGGUGCGCUAACCCAGCAAUGGGAGGCAGGCUGCCACGGUAGCUCUGCGGCGGACG
rnacentral:rRNA from 1 species